rnacentral:rRNA from 1 species
UGGGGAAUAUUGGGCAAUGGGCGAAAGCCUGACCCAGCAACGCCGCGUGAAGGAAGAAGGCCUUCGGGUUGUAAACUUCUUUGACCAGGGAAGAAGAAGUGACGGUACCUGGAAAACAAGCCACGGCUAACUACGUGCCAGCAGCCGCGGUAAUACGUAGGUGGCAAGCGUUGUCCGGAUUUACUGGGUGUAAAGGGCGUGUAGGCGGGAUUGCAAGUCAGAUGUGAAAUGCCGGGGCUUAACCCCGGAGCUGCAUUUGAAACUGUAGUUCUUGAGUGAUGGAGAGGCAGGCGGAAUUCCUAGUGUAGCGGUGAAAUGCGUAGAUAUUAGGAGGAACACCAGUGGCGAAGGCGGCCUGCUGGACAUUAACUGACGCUGAGGCGCG